CGUCGUCAGUUCGUACUGUGAAGCAUCCUGUUAAGUCAGGCAACGAGCGAGACCCGUGCCCACUGUUGCCAGCAUGUCCUUCGGGACGAUGGGUACUCUGUGGGGACCGCCGAUGCUAAAUCGGAGGAAGGUGCGGGCUACGGUAGGUCAGUAUGCCCCGAAUCUCCCGGGCUACACGCGGGCUACAAUGACUGGGACAAUGGGCUCCUACCCCGAAAGGGGAUGGUAAUCUCAUAAACCCAGCCGUAGUUCGGAUCGAGGGCUGCAACCCGCCCUCGUGAAGCUGGAAUCCGUAGUAAUCGCGUUUCAACAUAGCGCGGUGAAUACGUCCCUGCUCCUUGCACACACCGCCCGUCAAACCACCCGAGUGAGGUAUGGGUGAGGGCAUGGACAUUGUGCUGUGUUCGAACCUAAAUUUUGCAAGGGGGGUUAAGUCGUAACAAGGUAGCCGUAGGGGAAUCUGCGGCUG
rnacentral:rRNA from 2 species